AAACUCUAAGGCAGAUAAUUAACGUAGUACGAUAAAAGUAAAUCACAAACGACUAAAAUACCUAGAUACCAGACAAAUUCAAGACUUGCUAGUAUCACAUCCACCAGUUUUGAACGUUUAUGUGAAUUCAAAAGACUUAGAAUCUGAGAGAAGAAAUACUUCUCCUGUAGAAUUGAAAGAGAAGGGGCAAAGAGACAUUAAUAAUGUUUAUAGCAGCCUUGAAAAUCAACCACUUGACAAUCACACGUAUGAAGCUCUUAAGCCAAGACAUUUGUAGUAUAUAAGUUCAAUUUGAAAAAAAGACAAAGAUGAAAUCAUCGAUAUCUCAUGGAUGUUGCCUUGAUGGUCUAACGUACUACAAGACAGACGAAGUCGUGUCCGUCAAAUAUAUUUCAGCCUUAAUAUUUUACAACAAUCAGGCUAUAAUGUUCAAGAGAUCUGGUGGAAUGAUCAUUUAUUAACUUUUAUAC
rnacentral:sRNA from 1 species